rnacentral:tRNA from 1 species
GUGUAGCUCAGCAAGCGUAAGUGCCUGCUUGGAAAGCAUGAGGUUGUGGGUUCAAUCCCCACAACACACA